rnacentral:rRNA from 1 species
AGUAGCUGCAGUCGACGAUUCCUACGGGAGGCAGCAGUGGGGAAUCUUAGACAAUGGGCGCAAGCCUGAUCUAGCGAUGCCGCGUGAGUGAUGAAGGCCUUAGGGUCGUAAAGCUCUUUCGCCAGGGAUGAUAAUGACAGUACCUGGUAAAGAAACCCCGGCUAACUCCGUGCCAGCAGCCGCGGUAAUACGGAGGGGGUUAGCGUUGUUCGGAAUUACUGGGCGUAAAGCGUACGUAGGCGGAUCAGAAAGUAAGAGGUGAAAUCCCAGGGCUCAACCCUGGAACUGCCUUUUAAACUCCUGGUCUUGAGUUCGAGAGAGGUGAGUGGAAUUCCAAGUGUAGAGGUGAAAUUCGUAGAUAUUUGGAGGAACACCAGUGGCGAAGGCGGCUCACUGGCUCGAUACUGACGCUGAGGUACGAAAGUGUGGGGAGCAAACAGGAUUAGAUACCCUGGUAGUCCACACCGUAAACGAUGAAUGCCAGACGUCAGCAAGCACGCUUGUUGGUGUCACACCUAACGGAUUAAGCAUUCCGCCUGGGGAGUACGGUCGCAAGAUUAAAACUCAAAGGAAUUGACGG